rnacentral:rRNA from 1 species
UGUCAAAUCAUCACGGCCCUUAUGUCUUGGGCUACACACGUGCUACAAUGGUUACUACAGUGGGAUGCCAUCUGGUGACAGAGAGCUAAUCCAUAAAGGUAAUCUUAGUUCGGAUCGGAGUCUGCAACUCGACUCUGUGAAGUUGGAAUCGCUAGUAAUCGUAUAUCAGCAAUGAUACGGUGAAUACGUUCCCGGGCCUU